rnacentral:rRNA from 1 species
GGCGAACGCUGGCGGCGUGCCUAAUACAUGCAAGUCGAGCGGGGAUUAUGCUUGAUCGCUUCGGUGAGACGGCAUAUAUCCUAGCGGCGGACGGGUGAGUAACGCGUGGGUAAUCUACCUCGUAGUUCGGGAUAACAGGCCGAAAGGCUUGCUAAUACCGGAUGAGUUCAUGCUUAUGCAUAUAGGCAUGAAGAAAGGGCUAGCCCGCUAUGAGAUGAGCCCGCGUCCCAUUAGCUUGUUGGUGGGGUAAUGGCCUACCAAGGCAACGAUGGGUAGCCGGCCUGAGAGGGUGUACGGCCACACUGGGACUGAGACACGGCCCAGACUCCUACGGGGGCAGCAGUAGGGAAUUUUCGGCAAUGGGCGAAAGCCUGACCGAGCGACGCCGCGUGAGGGACGAAGGCCUUCGGGUUGUAAACCUCUGUCUGGGGGAUGAGAACGGACGGUACCCCGGAGGAAGCCCCGGCUAACUACGUG